GUUGCUUCGGCGGCGCGGCACCCCUUAACGGGGGCGCCGCAGCCCUGCCUCUCCGGAGGUUCGGGGCGCCCGCCGGAGGUACGAAACUCUGUAUUAUAGUGGCAUCUCUGAGUAUAAAACAAAUAAGUUAAAACUUUCAACAACGGAUCUCUUGGUUCUGGCAUCGAUGAAGAACGCAGCGAAAUGCGAUAAGUAAUGUGAAUUGCAGAAUUCAGUGAAUCAUCGAAUCUUUGAACGCACAUUGCGCCCGGUAGUACUCUACCGGGCAUGCCUGUUCGAGCGUCAUUUCAACCCUCAAGCCCUGCUUGGUGUUGGGGCCCUACGGCUGCCGUAGGCCCUGAAAGGAAGUGGCGGGCUCGCUACAACUCCGAGCGUAGUAAUUCAUUAUCUCGCUAGGGAGGUUGCGGCGUGCUCCUGCCGUUAAAGACCCAUCUUUAACCAAGGUUGACCUCGGAUCAGGUAGGAAUACCCGCUGAACUUAAGCAUAUCAAUAAGCGGAGGAAAAGAAACCAACAGGGAUUGCCCUAGUAACGGCGAGUGAAGCGGCAACAGCUCAAAUUUGAAAUCUGGCUUCGGCCCGAGUUGUAAUUUGUAGAGGAUGCUUUUGGUGAGGUGCCUUCUGAGUUCCCUGGAACGGGACGCCAGAGAGGGUGAGAGCCCCGUAUAGUCGGCCACCGAUCCUUUGUAAAGCUCCUUCGACGAGUCGAGUAGUUUGGGAAUGCUGCUCAAAAUGGGAGGUAUAUCUCUUCUAAAGCUAAAUAUAGGCCAGAGACCGAUAGCGCACAAGUAGAGUGAUCGAAAGAUGAAAAGCACUUUGAAAAGAGGGUUAAAUAGCACGUGAAAUUGUUGAAAGGGAAGCGCUUGUGACCAGACUUGUGCCGGGCUGAUCAUCCAGUGUUCUCACUGGUGCACUCGACCCGGCUCAGGCCAGCGUCGGUUUUCGUGGGGGGAUAAAAGCUUCGGGAACGUGGCACCUUCGGGUGUGUUAUAGCCCGUUGCUUAAUACCUCCG
rnacentral:rRNA from 1 species